rnacentral:rRNA from 1 species
UGAGUACGAGAUGCUACGGCAUCGAAGCAGUGUAUGUCAUACUUCCAAGAAAAGCUCGCAAUGUCAUAAACAAAUAAUGCCUGUACCAUAACCGACACAGGUGGGUAGGUAGAGUAUACUAAGGGGCGCGAGAUAACUCUCUCUAAGGAACUCGGCAAAAUGACUCCGUAACUUCGGGAGAAGGAGUGCCUUAUUUUUAUAAGGUUGCAAUAACAAGAUCCAAGCAACUGUUUACCAAAAACACAGGUCUCCGCUAAGUCGUAAGACGAUGUAUGGGGGCUGACGCCUGCCCAGUGCCAGAAGGUUAAAGAAGUUGGUUAGCAUUAGCGAAGCUGAUAACUGAAGCCCUGGUGAACGGCGGCCGUAACUAUAACGGUCCUAAGGUAGCGAAAUUCCUUGUCGGGUAAGUUCCGACCCGCACGAAAGGCGUAAUGAUUUGGAUACUGUCUCGGAGAGGGGCUCGGUGAAAUAGACUUGUCUGUGAAGAUGCGGACUACCUGCACCUGGACAGAAAGACCCUAUGAAGCUUUACUGUAACUUGAGAUUGAAAUUGGACUUUAUCUGCGCAGUAUAGGUGUAGACGUUGAUAAUAUUCUUGCGGGAAUAUUGGAGUCAUCAGUGAGAUACCACUCUUAUAAUGUUAGAUUUCUAACUUUGUAUCAUUAUCUGGUCAAAGAACAGUUUCAGGCGGGCAGUUUGACUGGGGCGGUCGCCUCCCAAACGUUAACGGAGGCGCACAAAGGUUUCCUCUGAACGUGUAGAAAUCGUAUCUAGUGUGUAAAGGCAUAAGGAAGCUUGACUGUGAGACCUACAAGUCGAGCAGGGACGAAAGUCGGUCUUAGUGAUCUGACGGUGCUGAGUGGAAAGGCCGUCACUCAACGGAUAAAAGUUACUCUAAGGAUAACAGGCUGAUCUCCCCCAAGAGUUCACAUCGACGGGGAGGUUUGGCACCUCGAUGUCGGCUCAUCGCAUCCUGGGGCGGUAGUACGUCCCAAGGGUUGGGCUGUUCGCCCAUGAAAGCGGUACGCGAGCUGGGUUCAGAACGUCGUGAGACAGUUCGGUCCAUAUCCGGUGUAGGCGUUAGAAUAUUGAGAGGAGCCUUCUUUAGUACGAGAGGACCGAGAAGGACAUACCUCUGGUGUACCAGUUAUCGUGCCAACGGUAAACGCUGGGUAGCUAUGUAUGGAGAGGAUAACCGCUGAAAGCAUCUAAGUGGGAAGCCCACCUCAAGAUAAGUAUUCCC